rnacentral:rRNA from 1 species
UACAGAGGGGGGCAAGCGUUGUCCGGAAUCAUUGGGCGUAAAGAGCGUGUAGGCGGCCAGAUAAGUCCGCUGUGAAAACUCGAGGCUCAACUUCGAGCUGUCGGUGGAAACUAUUUGGCUAGAGUCCGGAAGAGGAGAGUGGAAUUCCUGGUGUAGCGGUGAAAUGCGCAGAUAUCAGGAAGAACACCCGUGGCGAAGGCGGCUCUCUGGUACGGAACUGACGCUGAGACGCGAAAGCGUGGGAGCGAACAGG